GUCUCCGUUUGUUUAUACGUAAACACGAGGCGCCACUGAAAUACUAUUUUUUUUGUAUUAACAAUGUAAGACAAUAAAAUUAUGUUUAAACAACGGUUCCUGAGCGCAGCGCGUUAGAACGUCGUAAGACAGUUGUUUCUACGAUUUCCAUAGCCGAUAAAUACUGAACAUCCUCACCGUUAAUAUCAAACGCUAAAAUGCUGUGUGUAUCACAAAACUAUUGGGGAUAUUUAUACAAACAUUGAGGUCAGUUAUUGAAAAUGGUUUUACGCAGUUCAGCUGGUCGGCGAGUCUCGCGUGAGUUUUAGUUUGAUAAUUUUUUUUCUAAUAUACAUU